GACCACAGGGUGAGCACCCACUGCUGGCCCCACUAACACCUCAUCCAGCAGCAGCCUUCGUUUUUCCCAGGAGGUCUCCCAUCCAGGAGGAAUUGGGGUUCCUCUCUAUUCUUCGCCUGGAAUUGGUGUGGCCUACUCAGCUUUAUAAUGCAGGUAACGAAAAGCACUUCAGUAACUUCUCACAUUUUAGGAAACAAAUCGGAUUUGUAAUUUAUGCCAUGGUGCUGCGUGUGCAUUUGAAAUUUAGAUAGAGGAAAAAAACAUUUACUUGUACGUACAAAAUCACCGCAAGACAAUCACCAAAUGAAGUUUGUGUUCCAGAUAUUAUUUCUAAAAAUAUUUUGAAGCUUUGCCCUCGGUAUUAAUAACUGCGAC
rnacentral:lncRNA from 1 species